UAGGAGACUCCGCAGAGCAACCAUGUUUCUUUGCACCGGCCACGGUUGUCAAAACCCACGGCACUCGGUCCACAACCCGCUUGAACAUCACAAAGCCCUCUUUGUAUUUUAGACUACAUGAUGGACUUUUCUCUUCAGAAGGAACACUGAAGGAAGACUGGGAGGAAAGCACAACUACUGGUGCUCAGCUUCUGCCAAGCUGACUCUACAACACUUUAACCUCCAGUAGAGCGCUUAGAUUUCCAGAAGGGUUGCACAAUUACAAAAUCCCAAUCAUCACUUCCUCAGGGGCCCACAAAAUGGAAAGUGUAUACCAUCUCAUUACAGGAGUGCUAAUGUUCUUUAAUUUUAGAUUGUUACAGCUUAGAUUUAAUUCCAGUUCUGAUUCAAGGGUGGAAAAAAACAAACAAAAAAACAUCGCUUUUAAAGUUAAUCAAUCAAUCACAGCUUCUGGGCAUUUGCCCUCUGCAAGUAAGCACAAUGUAAUUUGUUGGCCAUGAGCGUUCCAAGCCCAAAACCUAAAGAUAAUAAGGUUACAAUAAAUAUUAACAAUAGUGCUAUAAAUCUUCUCAUUUUAGAUGCAGAUGGCUUUACAGUUUUUACAUUGUAUUUACUAAUGUUUUCUCAAAGCUGUUGGUUAAGUCAUGCCUUUCAUUCAUAUCAUUAAUGAUCCUGUAAUUCUAUACCACUUUUUAGGUCUACACACUGGUGAAAAUUUCCAUAUUCUGUCUUUAAAGGAGUUUAUUUGGUUUGCAUUUUUCAGGUUUGCUUGCCAUGACGAUGUGAUAUUAAUAUGUAUAAAUAUCCAAAACAGUGUAAUGUAAUGCAGAUCCCUUCCUGCAACACUUAAAUGUUGAAAAGACACUUUCAUAUGUAUUAAUAUUCCACACAGUAAGAAAUUAUUUCAAAAUAUUUCCCCUUUAGCAUUUUACUAGACUCUUCCAAGAAAGAAUUGACCUUUUUACCAUCUAUCAUUGUUUGCUUUCUUUGAACUUUCCACCCGAUCCUCAUCUUGUGUCUUGGCUGGGACCAAGUUUUUAUUACUCUCUGCCACUCACUUUUUAAAACUUUAAAAUUAGAUUUCCUGAAGAUAUGGAUAUGUCUAAAUAGGUCAAAAUGACAGAAGCGCUGUUACACCAAAAGUCUUAAAAGUGGAUGUUUUAAUCAACAUAAACACUGGUGGUUGAGUUUCUUAUGAUGAGUACAGAAUUCUGUUUUGCACUAAAGGCUACACACAAAAAUAGUGUAUUUAAUGUAUUUUACAGUUUAUAUGUAUCUGUAUUCAAUUUAUUAUAAUAAUAGAUCACAAACCCAAGUAAAAUACCAAUUAAAGAGGGUGGUACAGUAAACACAAACUACAUUGGGUUAAAUGAGAGAAAUACAAGAAAUAAAAUCAGUAGGGGUUCUCCAAUAAAAGUAUGUCUUAAAAAGAGAUGUAAAAGAUGUCACUGGCCCCAUUUCCUGAGGCAGUUUAUUCCAUAGCUCCAGGGCUUUGGCAGGAAAUUCUCUGUAACUUUUAGUUUUUAGGCUCUAGCCUCAGGACUCAGCCUUUGUAUAGGCUGAGGUACUGUAUAUAGCAGAAGAGAGGCCAUGAAAAGCCUUUAAAGUCAACUCUAAUCUGUGGUCACUUAAUGGAUUUUUCAUCAAGGCAGGUGAAGCUGGAUGUAUCAAUAAUCUAACCUCAGGAAGAGGGAGACAUGGAAAAUGCUGCCACCACCUUUUAGAGAUCUUAUUAGGUGAUCAGAACAAACUGAGGCUACUACUGAGUGAGUACAGAUAGUCACGAUAAGCUUUACUAUUGUUCCCAUAAUACUAAUGGAAAAUUGGUUGAGUUCUUUUCAUACUCUUCUUCUCUCCCCAGUCAGUUAAACUGCUCAAUACAAAUGAGCACUGGUGAAAAAAAGGCCUUUGAAAGGUGCAGGUAAUAAUUAAUUCACUUGAACAUUUGCUGCCAUUAGAUAUGAGUCAGUAUGUCUCACCGGAAGACGCGUUUUCAUGUUAAUUCAGUCAGUUUUGAAAAUGUAAAAUCUCUGACUGUGACUGCUCUAUUGCCCUUUAAGAGUUGGAAAUGUCUAUGUAAAAAGAAGCACAUUUGAAAAGUAUUUUCUUCAUUAGAGAGGCAAAGUCUUGUGGGACAAUGAGAAAGUAUAUUAGUGCUAGAAGAUGUCAUACUGUAACUACACAGCUCUGAGUAAGGCGUGCAUAUUAAAACACUCACUUUGCAUAAUUUUCCUGCAAAAAAAGAAUAAAAGAAGAAGCCAUUUGAGUUGCCCCAGCGGUAAUUGGGUCUAUUGUCAUGGAGGCACCUAGAUUGGCACAAGCAGCAGCAGCAUGUUGGUGUACAGCGCUGACCUUGAAAUGCAGUUUGCCUGGCCGUCUGCAUGCAAAUGAGGAAGUGGGAAGCUAGUUCUCGAUGUUAGUUGAUAACUGAGACUGAGACAACGCCUCACUGAGAAAAGAUGUCAGAGGGCCGUGCAAGUACUUCAGACUCAUUCAUCUGAUAAUAAGACAAAAAGCCAUGAUAGAAAGACAAAAAAAAUCCCCCAAAACUGCCUCUUUGACUUUGCUUCUUGUUCUCUGUCCCUGCUCAUUUUCCAAAUUGCGUUUUUAAUGUGGAUGCAUUGGCACGUAGCAAGUUUUCAAAGUGGAAAAAAAAAGAGGUUCAGCACCAUGGACAGCAACUUGCUCACUCCUUAAACUCAGCCAUGCCAUUUCACCAAACUUGUAAAAUGAAAAUAAAUAACAAAAGAAAAAGGAUUAAUAUGAGCAACAAACCAGGGAAUUAUUAUUGUGAAACCUGUUUGUUAAAGGUUUUCACUGCUCACUUGUAGUGGGUUGCCCUGAAAACUACGAAGACUAGAGCAUUUACUUAUUUGAAAAGAAGAUUGUGAACUGAGGCAAGCGAACAGAAACCAACUUUUAAAUUCUUUAUGCUCAUUUGUGUUUCUCUUUGUUGGCAGCUAGCCUGCUCUUUUUGCACACUUUGCAAUGCUUCAUGUCUUGUUACAGCUCAAAGGAUGAUCCAGCGUGGCCACGAACCAAAUGGACUGAGCAACUGUGUGGUUUAUUUAAUCUGGACUGCAAAUCCGUCACGUUCUCAAGUAAUCGAAUUGCCUGUGGAAUAAAGCCAAGAAUUCUGUUUGUUUUGCAAGCUGGAGAUUUCCUCCUCCUGCAGGAGUCAUCACAAACUCAUUAUGGGUGCAGAAACACAAGAUUUAAUGCACCUUUGUAGCAUCAGUAACAUCUCAGCAAACCCCCAAAUCUGCUUCAGACAGUUGAGCCUUCACACCCUCAACAGUACGAGGAGACACUGGAAAAGUAAAAAGAGAGCGCUUGAGCCCGACACAGAGAUACUUCACAGAGAUGGGAAGCUUAGGAGUUUGUCGUUGGAUAGUGAUGAUCUGCAAUAUCAUUCAGAGGCCAUGGUGCAUAACCACUUUGAUGAUCCAGUAAAAUGAAUGUAAUACUUGUACAGCUUAAAUUGGGUGCACAAGUUUGAAUUUAUAAUCGCCAUCAACUGGGUCCCUGCUUGAACACCAGUAUCAAUGUCUACAAGUGACGCAAGUUUUACAUCACCAUGGACUGAGAGGCUGCAAACCAAGAACAAAGUCGCUGGUCCAAAAGUGUCACCUUCAAGCUUGAGUGAAAUUUGCAGCUGCCCGAAUGGACAAGCCAAAUGUGUUUUAGAGAAAAGUUUUUAUCUUCAGAUGAGACAAAGAUUGAGUUAUUUGGCCACAAUGACAAGUAGUAUGUUUGGAAGUAUGUAACUGUAAGGCUUUCAAACCUAAGAACACUGUAACAGCUGUCAGGCAUGGUGGUGGUAGUAUCAUGCUCGGGGCUAUUUUGCUGCCAGUGGUACAGGUACAGUCCACCAAGUGUACUGAAUAAUAAAAUAGGAGGACUACCUCCAAAUUACCUGAAAUCAACAGCUAGAUGGUUUAAACUUGAAUAGAAGUGGGGCUCCAAUGAGAUCAAUGAUCCCAGACAGGUAUCAAUUUUCAGAACUGAAGAACCUCUUGGAUGAGAGGUGAAAUGUCUUCAUGAAACUUAACAGAAGUCCAAGCUUUCCAAGCUCCUUAGGCUACCAUGACUAGGCUAAAAUUAACUUUCUGGGAUUACUUCCAAAAGCUCUGACCUCAACCCUAUUGAAAAUUUGAGCAUUAUGCUUAAAAGCUUAGUCUGUGCCAGGAAAACAACCAAUUGAAAUGAACGGUACCAAUACUGCCAUGUAUCCCGCCAGAAUUAUGCCAGUAGACUGUUG